rnacentral:rRNA from 1 species
GUGCAGCAGGCGCGAAUACUUUACAAUGUGCGAAAGCACGAUAAGGGAACUCUGAGUGCCUCCUAAGGAGGCUGUUCAGGUGUCUAAAAGCACCUGGAGUAAGGGCUGGGUAAGACCGGUGCCAGCCGCCGCGGUAACACCGGCAGCCCAGGUGGUAGCCACUUUUAUUGGGUCUAAAGCGUCCGUAGCCGGUUGAGUAAGUUCCUUGGGAAAUUUGGCUGCUCAACAGUCAAGCUUCCAGGGAAUACUGCUCGACUUGGGACUGGGAGAGGUCAGAGGUACUCCAGGGGUAGGGGUGAAAUCCAUUAAUCCCUGGGGGACCACCGGUAGCGAAGGCGUCUGACCAGACCAGGUCCGACGGUGAGGGACGAAGGCUA